AUACGUAGGGUGCGAGCGUUGUCCGGAAUUACUGGGCGUAAAGAGCUCGUAGGUGGUUUGUCGCGUCGUCUGUGAAAUUCCGGGGCUUAACUCCGGGCGUGCAGGCGAUACGGGCAUAACUUGAGUACUGUAGGGGAGACUGGAAUUCCUGGUGUAGCGGUGAAAUGCGCAGAUAUCAGGAGGAACACCGGUGGCGAAGGCGGGUCUCUGGGCGGUAACUGACGCUGAGGAGCGAAAGCAUGGGUAGCGAACAGGAUUAGAUACCCUGGUAGUCCAUGCCGUAAACGGUGGGCGCUAGGUGUAGGGGUCUUCCACGACUUCUGUGCCGUAGCUAACGCAUUAAGCGCCCCGCCUGGGGAGUACGGCCGCAAGGCUAAAACUCAAAUGAAUUGACGGGG
rnacentral:rRNA from 1 species